GAGCAGGGUGAUCUGCUCCAACAAUGCACCAGUUCCAGAGGUCCUCUGCAGAACCUGAAGAGACAGCACAGCAUCCUGAGGCUGUUAACUUCCUGACUCCUGCCUUUGAAAUAGAACCAGGAACUGAGCUUCCAUGGCCUAGUUUGACCUGGCUUCGCCACUACCCCAGUUCUGAUGAGAUUAUGAUCUGCUACCCCAGAACUAAGCAGAGGGCUCCUUCUAGCAAGUUCCAACGCCAUGCACACCUAGUCACCGCCCCUUGAUGAUGGGACACCACCAGACUGACAUGUUCACUGCAAAACCUGCAACAAGUCUGCUGACAUCUGA